CCUGCCCGUGUUCCUCCCCAGAGGUGGCACCAAAAUUGUGAUCUGCACCCUGGGUCAACCAAAAACCCUGUGGACAAGAAAGGACAGCUUUUCAGGUACCCCGGAGCCUAUUCAAGCCUCAGGCAUGUUGGAUUAUUUGCAAGAAUGAUUAUUUGUGACGAAACUUAAUGUUGCAAGUUACUGAGACUUCUCGCCAUCCCAUCCAUCUCUGGUUGGACAGGGGAACAAAGUUCCACAAUCCCUGGAUGUUCUAAAAUGCUGUGAUACUAUCCAAUGGCCUGGAACCGAACAACUUCAUAAGCCACUGGCUUGAAAAUAAGACUCCAGGACAAUGACCAAAUUCAGAUGUCACCAGAAUAAUCUAUUUCAUUGUAUCUCUAUGUGAGAAAGUCCAGCAACUUAUGAGGGAAAUUAGAAGAGAGACGGAAAACCAAUCAAAUUAGGGUCUGAAUAAAUAUAAUUCCAAA